rnacentral:rRNA from 1 species
AGUAAUGCAUCGGAACGUACCGAGUAGUGGGGGAUAACUGUCCGAAAGGAUGGCUAAUACCGCAUACGCUUUGAGAAGGAAAGCAGGGGCUCUUCGGACCUUGCGCUAUUCGAGCGGCCGAUGUCUGAUUAGCUGGUUGGUGGGGUAAAGGCCUACCAAGGCGACGAUCAGUAGCGGGUCUGAGAGGAUGAUCCGCCACACUGGGACUGAGACACGGCCCAGACUCCUACGGGAGGCAGCAGUGGGGAAUUUUGGACAAUGGGCGCAAGCCUGAUCCAGCCAUGCCGCGUGUCUGAAGAAGGCCUUCGGGUUGUAAAGGACUUUUGUCAGGGAAGAAAAGGUUGUGGUUAAUACCCAUGACUGAUGACGGUACCUGAAGAAUAAGCACCGGCUAACUACGUGCCAGCAGCCGCGGUAAUACGUAGGGUGCGAGCGUUAAUCGGAAUUACUGGGCGUAAAGCGGGCGCAGACGGUUACUUAAGUCAGAUGUGAAAUCCCCGGGCUCAACCUGGGAACUGCGUUUGAAACUGGGUGACUAGAGUAUGUCAGAGGGGGGUAGAAUUCCACGUGUAGCAGUGAAAUG